rnacentral:lncRNA from 1 species
AGGCAAGUUCAACCUGGCCUUCAUCUCACUGUGUUACCCAGGCUGGCCUCUUAACUCACAGAGAGAUCUUCCUGGCUCAGCCUCCCAGUGCUUGAAUUAGAUUGGCUAACAAGCUGAGGACCCAGCCCCUGAGUGUUGCCUCCCUCACUGUGGAAGACACCAGCCACUAUGGCAGUCAGUGGUCUCUGAUGCUAGCUGGGACCCCAUCUUGUCCUUCCUGGAGACAUUAUGGGGAUAGACCCUCUCCCCUCUGCUCCUUGACCUUGACCCAUUCUCCAUACACCAAUUGGACAAGAUCACUUCUUCCCUGAAAGCUACUUACUGUCCUUUUGUACAGCAAAAGUUUCUUGUCAACAAAGUGAAAAGCCAACUCAUGGAAUGAAAGAAAAUAUUUGCAAAUCAUGUAUCUGAUAAGUAAGCAAUAUCUGGAAUACAUAGAGAACCCUGCGGCUCAACAACAAAGAAACAAACAACCCAGUGUACAAAUAGGCAAAGGACUUAAAUGGG